UGAGGAAUAUUGGGCAAUGGGCGCAAGCCUGACCCAGCAACGCCGCGUGAAGGAAGAAGGCUUUCGGGUUGUAAACUUCUUUUCUGAGGGACGAUAGUGACGGUACCUCAGGAAUAAGCCACGGCUAACUACGUGCCAGCAGCCGCGGUAAUACGUAGGUGGCAAGCGUUAUCCGGAUUUACUGGGUGUAAAGGGCGUGUAGGCGGGAUGGUAAGUCAGAUGUGAAAACUAUGGGCUCAACCCAUAGCCUGCAUUUGAAACUAUCGUUCUUGAGUGUUGGAGAGGCAGGCGGAAUUCCGUGUGUAGCGGUGAAAUGCGUAGAUAUACGGAGGAACACCAGUGGCGAAGGCGGCCUGCUGGACAAUAACUGACGCUGAGGCGCGAAAGCGUGGGGAGCAAACAGG
rnacentral:rRNA from 1 species